CUAAGUUUGAUGGCGACCGGCGCACGGGUGAGUAACACGUAUCCAACCUGCCGAUGACUCGGGGAUAGCCUUUCGAAAGAAAGAUUAAUACCCGAUGGCAUAGUUCUUCCGCAUGGUAGAACUAUUAAAGAAUUUCGGUCAUCGAUGGGGAUGCGUUCCAUUAGGUUGUUGGCGGGGUAACGGCCCACCAAGCCUUCGAUGGAUAGGGGUUCUGAGAGGAAGGUCCCCCACAUUGGAACUGAGACACGGUCCAA
rnacentral:rRNA from 1 species